GGCUCACUGCUCUUUACCAUUAAACACAGACGGAACCAUCUUCUCCCAUAGUGCUUAGCGGUGGGAAAGUCACCUCUGCAGCUAAAGGCUAAAAUAUCACCACGAUGGCUCCUCCUGUCGCUGUAUCGCCUCUUAUUAAGACGGCAAGAUAUUCAGCUCUAAUCGCUGGCAUCUUUUAUGGCAAGAAGAGAUAUGAACACCUGAAGCCCAUUGCUGCAGAGGAGAAAAGGAUAGCAGAGGAAGAGAAGAAGAUCCGUGAAGAGCAGGAGCGCAUUGCCAAGCAGCUAGCAGAAGCAAGUGAAGAUACCAUUUUGAAGUAAAGCUGAGUGAAGAUGCCCGCUUAUUUGUGCCGUUUUCUUGAGUCUUUUUAAGUAAAAGGAUGUGGAUUACUAUUGCUCAUAAACAUCUUUCUCACUAAAACCCCUUACACUCAUCAUUCAGUGAAGCUGCUUGAGAAUUAUGGGAACAGGAAUGCACCAUACAUUUGUUGUUUAUUGACAUGUGACCCAUAGAUUAGUGCUUUUUGGCACAUAAGAUAAAUAAACAU